AACGAGCGCUGGCGGCAUGCCUUACACAUGCAAGUCGAACGGCAGCACGGGAGCAAUCCUGGUGGCGAGUGGCGAACGGGUGAGUAAUAUAUCGGAACGUGCCCAGUCGUGGGGAUAACGUAGCGAAAGCUACGCUAAUACCGCAUACGAUCUACGGAUGAAAGCGGGGGAUCGCAAGACCUCGCGCGAUUGGAGCGGCCGAUAUCAGAUUAGGUAGUUGGUGAGGUAAAGGCUCACCAAGCCGACGAUCUGUAGCUGGUCUGAGAGGACGACCAGCCACACUGGGACUGAGACACGGCCCAGACUCCUACGGGAGGCAGCAGUGGGAAUUUUGGACAAUGGGCGCAAGCCUGAUCCAGCAAUGCCGCGUGCAGGAUGAAGGCCUUCGG
rnacentral:rRNA from 1 species